GCACUACUGCAGAGUCCCAUAUUAGGACGAAACGGCCGUCCAGUGC
rfam:Schistosoma margrebowiei strain Zambia genome assembly, scaffold: SMRZ_scaffold0004807